rnacentral:lncRNA from 1 species
CAGAAAAUUACUUUUGAUACUUAAGUACAGUAAAGAUCAGAUACUUUAAGACUUUUACUCAAGUAGUAUUCUAAAAGGUUACUUUUACUUUUACUUGAGUCAUUUUCCAGUAAGGUAUCUUUACUUUUACUCAAGUAUGGCUUUUGGGUACUUUAUACACCACUGGUUGUCACCUAUCCCUAUGUGGAUCUCACCAUGUUGGAACAACCAUGCAUCCCCCGUCCGUCCCCUCAACCAAAUGGGAGGAGUGUAAUAUCUCUGCUCUGCAAUGUUCCGGUUUCCGCUAAGGAGACACCCCAGUUCGCUAAGGGAGCAGCUAGUGUGCUGUGGUAAGGGGGGAGGUUUGGGGAGGCUAAAGGCUGGAUUAAGCAUAGUUAGCAGCCGAGAUGGUGAAUAUAACUAGUAUAGCGACGUUGCUCAAGUGACUGCGUGUGGUCAGGGCGAUAUUAAAACGAUUUUCUCAAGAAAGAUAACAACCUUUUUCAGCAUGGACUCCAUGCACAUAACACACGUCUGAAGUGCACUUGAAUUGUGUGUAUACUCCAAACAAAACUGACCAUGAUGUACCGCUUGUUUUCCGCCUUGGGUGUUCUAUUCGGAAUGGCCUCAGCGGGUAAGGAACCAGUGGCUGUCCCUAGUCUCCUGAUUUUGUCACAAAAGACACCACAAAUUGGAUAACCAAUCAAGAACUAUUUAUAACUAUAAUGGAACAAAAAGAUGGAGAAAACGGGAUAGUUGACGGCUCUUAUGGCUUAGGGCCGGAGCCAAAGAGGAUAUGUCCUGGGAUGCCAUUCACUUUUACACUGACAUAUAGGAUAAGCGGAGCAGACCUGAUGUUCUACAAGAACGGGGUCGAGAGGAAGGUUGCCACUACCAAGGAGAUUAUAGACCCCCAGUUUCGGCUCAAUGGCAGUGAACCUUAUUUACCCGAGGUCAUGAAAACGCAUGAAGGGAAGUAUUAUUGGAAGGCUCCAUCGGUCGAUUUUGAACUGAAUUACAUCAGACUAAUUCUGAAAGACUGCAGUGUUCGUCAAAAUGUGGUGUACGGUGAGGAGUUGGCCUUAAAUGUGCCGGCGGACGCGUCUGUGUUGGAGUUCACCCCUCACCUCUCAGACCAACACUCCGUCCUGUGGAGACGGAUACACAGAGGGGGGGACGAGGAAGCAAGGGGCGCGGUUAAGGACGGCCGCUGGACAGCACAGAGGAUGACCCAAGCGGAUCAGGGGCGCUACACUUUACUCAGGGAGAGUGGUGGCCAGAUCUCCAGCACUGUGGUCUCUGUUGAAGAACUCCAAAUACAUGCUCACGUGGCUGAUGACGACGUCAGAGAUCACUGGAGAACUGAUGUUAAUAUCUCUGCACGGGAGGCUGUAGUCACUUACUUUACGGCUUUCGGGGGUGAGCAUGUGCUCUUCCGAGACGGCAUGGAGACUGAUGAGGGCUUCGACAUUUUUGGAAAUCGUAUCACACUCCAAAAGUCAACGCUCCAAAAGUCAACUUUCAGCAUCAGCAAAGCGCAGCCAAGUGACGCAGGACGAUACGAGAUCCAUGACAAGAAUGGACAUCUGGCCAUCUCACUGUAUCUGGAGAGAGACCCUGGUCAGUCGUAUGCCAUGACCUGUUUUUAUUGUUGUAUAAUGUAGUUAUUAAUUCUACUUCAAUCUCUUUCUGCGUGUCAACAUUUUUCUCUCUCCUUCAAUCUCUCAGAAGAUGAAGAGUUUUAUCCUACGAGUUUAGCCACUCCUCUUGGCAUAUCUGCGGGCGUGCUGGUUGGACUGCUGUGCUGUUGCUGGUGCUGUUGCAAGUGCUGUGGCAAGUGCUGUGGCCAUGACGAUGGUGACAAGACUGAGUCCGCCGCUGCUUCUCCAGACGCCGAGCAACCCGCUCACAUCCAUGUAAGCGCUUCUAUAUAGGGGAAAGUCUUGCAGGGGUCGUGACCUCGGCCCUUUGUGACAAGAGCAAACACGUGGAGUUGAUUCAUGGAGGGUUAAAAGAAGGAAUAAAAACAAGGCACCCCUGAUGUUAAACUUAAAG